rnacentral:rRNA from 1 species
GUGCACAUCUUGACGGUACCUAAUCAGAAAGCCACGGCUAACUACGUGCCAGCAGCCGCGGUAAUACGUAGGUGGCAAGCGUUAUCCGGAAUUAUUGGGCGUAAAGCGCGCGUAGGCGGUUUUUUAAGUCUGAUGUGAAAGCCCACGGCUCAACCGUGGAGGGUCAUUGGAAACUGGAAAACUUGAGUGCAGAAGAGGAAAGU